UCCUCCCUCUGGCGGCGUGCUUAACACAUGCAAGUCGAACGGAAAGGCCCUGCUUUUGUGGGGUUCUCGAGUGGCGAACGGGGGAGUAUCACGUGAGUAACCUGCCCUUGACUGUGGGGUAACUUCAGGAAACUGGGGCUAAUACCGGAGAGGAGCUCCUGCUGCACGGGGGGCGUUGGAAAGUUUCGGCUGUUGGGGAUGGACUGGCGGCUUACCAGCUUGUUUGGGGGGUAGGGGCUUACCAAGGCUAUGACGGGUAGGCGGCCUGGGAGGGUGGCCGGCGACCAUGGGACUGAGAUACGGCCCAGACUCCUACGGGAGGCAGCAGUGGGGAAUAUUGCACAAUGGGCGGAAGCCUGAUGCAGCAACGCCGCGUGCGGGAUGACGGCCUUCGGGUUGUAAACCGCUUUCGCCUGUGACGCAGCGUGAGUGACGGUAAUGGGUAAAGAAGCACCGGCUAACUACGUG
rnacentral:rRNA from 1 species